AUUGAACGCUGGCGGCAGGCCUAACACAUGCAAGUCGAGCGGAUGAAGGGAGCUUGCUCCUGGAUUCAGCGGCGGACGGGUGAGUAAUGCCUAGGAAUCUGCCUGGUAGUGGGGGAUAACGUCCGGAAACGGGCGCUAAUACCGCAUACGUGCUGAGGGAGAAAGAGGGGGAUCUUCGGAACUCUCGCUAUCAGGUGAGCCUAGGCCGGUGUAGCUAGUUGGUGGGGUAAGGGGCUACUAGGUCGACGAUCCGUAAGUGGUCUGCGAGGAUGAUCAGUCACAUUGGAGCGGAGACACGGUCCAGACUCCUACGGGAGGCAGCAGUGGGGAAUAUUGGACAAUGGUCGAGAGCCUGGUCCAGCCAGGCCGCGUGUGUGAAGAAGGUCUUCGGAUUGUAAAGCACUUUAAGUUGGGAGGAAGGGCAGUAAGUUAAGACCUUGCUGUUUUGACGUUACCAACAGAAUAAGCACCGGCUAACUACGUG
rnacentral:rRNA from 1 species